ensembl:miRNA
UAUUAGGUUGAUACAAAGGUAUUUGUGGUUUUUGUCAUUAAAAGUAAAGGCAAAAACUGCAAUUACCUUUGUAACAGCCUAAUA